rnacentral:rRNA from 1 species
ACAAUGCGGGACUAUACGUCUUGCAAUUGGAUUGAGAACAAUGUACAACUCUUAUCGAUAAGCCAUUGGAGGGCAAGUCUGGUGCCAGCAGCCGCGGUAAUUCCAGCUCCAAUAGCGUAUAUUAACGUUGUUGCAGUUAAAAAGCUCGUAGUUGAAGUGUGGGUGAUCGCUAUUGUGAGACUUCGGUCUCUCGACAGUAAGUCACCCCCUUCCAGUAUCCAGUAGUGGGUAUUCACUUACUUACUAUUGUGUGUUGGUCCUUUACUGUGAGAAAAUUAGAGUGUUCAAAGCAGGCGUUUGCUUGAAUAGAUUAGCAUGGAAUAAUAAUUGAAGGCUUUCGUGUUCGAUUUGAUUGGUUUGUUCAUGGAAGCAAGGUUAAAAGGAACAGUUGGGGGUAUUCAUAUUCACUAGUUAGAGGUGAAAUUCUCGGAUUUAUGGAAGAUGAACAA